ACCGUCGAUGCUUUAAGUGCGGUUGAUGUCCAUU
rnacentral:scRNA from 1 species